AAGCGUUAUCCGGAAUUACUGGCGUAAGGGCGUCUAGGCGGUCGGUCAAGUCAGUCGUGAAAGUCCUUGGCUAAACUGAGGAAAGUCGACCGAUACUGAUCGACUAGAGGGACGUAGAGGUAAGCGGAACUCUCGGAGUAGCGGUGAAAUGCGUAGAGACCGAGAGGUACCCCGAUGGUGAAGACAGCUUACUGGGCGUCUCCUGACGCUGAAGCGCUAAGGCCAGGGGAGCGAAGGGGAUUAGAUACCCCCGUAGUCCUGGCUUCAAACUAUGUGGGCUUGGUGUCGGCUCCCGAUAGAGAGUCGUUGCCGGAGCUAACGUGUUAAGCCCACCGCCUGGGGAUUGCGUCCGCAAGGAUGAAACUCAAGGGAAUUGACGGGGGCCCACACAACCGGUGGAGCACGUGGUUUAAUUCGAUGAUAAGCGAAGAACCUUACCAGGGCUUGACCUAGCGGUGGUAGGAUCCUGAAAAGGAAACGACCUCAAGCUUUGCUUGAGGAGCCGUGGCAGGUAUUGCAUGGCUGUCGUCAGCUCGUGUCGUGGGACGUUGGGUUAAGUCCCGUAACGAGCGCAACCCCUGCCCUUAAUUGCCAGCGGGUAAUGCCGGGGACUAUAAGGGGACUGCCGGAGAAUAUCCGGAGGAAGGAGGGGAUGACGUCAAGUCAUUAUGAUCCUUAUGCUCUGGGCGACACACGUGCUACAAUGGGUACUACAGUGAGGAGCAAGUCUGCAAGGACCAGCAAAUCUCAAAAAGGUGCCCUCAGUGCGGAUUGGGGUCUGCAACUCGACCCCAUGAAGAUGGAAUCGGUAGUAAUCGCGGGUCAGCCAUACGCGGUG
rnacentral:rRNA from 1 species